rnacentral:rRNA from 1 species
AAGACUCUCGGCAACGGAUAUCUCGGCUCUUGCAUCGAUGAAGAACGUAGCGAAAUGCGAUACUUGGUGUGAAUUGCAGAAUCCCGUGAACCAUCGAGUCUUUGAACGCAAGUUGCGCUCGAAGCCAUUAGGCUGAGGGCACGCCUGCCUGGGUGUUGCACAU